rnacentral:lncRNA from 1 species
UGAGCUGUUGGACAGUAGCUCACCCACCAGGAGCUCGCGCACCACCUCAGGGCUCAGGGUCAGUCGCUGGUACUCGGGGAUGUCAAGGAUGAACCAGAAGAAGCAGAUAAGGGGUCCCUCCCUAUGCAGACAGAAGCGAAAGGGGCCUGAAGGCCUAUCCUCGCCCAGCCCCUCCCCCAAGGAACCAACUGAGACUCAGACCCGCCAGGCACCCGCUAUACUUUCUCCCCAUUCCCACCCAUAGGAGGAGAGAUAGAGUCACAGGAGGUCAUAGGCCACUUGGCAACUGGCAGAACCAGAUACAACCAGGCAAGCCAAGUCCUGGACUGCGUCCUGGGCCACGUGCCUUCAAGCACACUCUGAACCUUGACCCACUCACACCAGGCAUCUCCAGUCACAACCUGUCACAACAACACCGCCAUCUGUAGAUGACAAGACCAAACUCAAUAAAGGGGAAUCACAUGUCGGAGGCUAA